rnacentral:lncRNA from 1 species
AUACUUGAAUAGAUAAAAUUUAAUUUAAUUGGAAAAUUUAGUUAAAUUAACAUUUUUUUUUCUCAGUGUACAAUCAUCAUGCACAUGCAUUAAGUUUCAAUUAAAGAAAAAUAUUUCUAAACUUUUCAUGUCAGAAAUAUAAACAUAACUUUUUGAUGUGAAGGAAUUCUUGAUAUUUGAUUACUUUCCUAUUAUUUUUGCGAUGGUACGUAUGCCCCUUAUAAUUAUAGUAAGAUUUUAAUUUUAACGUGUAUCACUUCCAUUUUUCGGCGCUACGCGAUUAAGUGCAAGCAUUCGGCGGGAAAGAAAGAAAGAACGAGAGAGGUAUGAUCGAUUUGAUACCCUUAUCCAGAUACCCUUCGCCCGAACGGAUGCCUUCUUUCAUUAUUACGCAACAAUAACACAACGGCUACCUGCUAGGCGUCGUUAUUUCACGUGCACGAGGAAACGACGCCGAUAAUGGUAGGGGCGAAUAGCACUAAAAUUGAUAACACCCGCCAUCCAGCUUACAACCUAGGAGGGUGGCAUCGUUACCAGUAGUCGAUGAUUAAACGACAGCCCCCCCUCCCCCUCCCCUCCCAGAUUGAUCAGUAAUAGACUUCUCCGAUCUAUCGUAGUACGUACGCCGCUGACGUUCGUGCGCGCAAAUGUUGCCAGCGUACACAAAGAAGCGGGAUCCGUAAUCUGCUGGUGACACGACUCCGGAUCAUAAGACACGAGGGACCCGCAGAUUGCGGCACCAAUUACCGAGAACCGCGCGAGAGUCACCGUCGCGCGAACAUUUCAAUUGUAUAAAGCGGAAUUGCGCCGCAUAAGAUUUUAAUUGCCGAGAUAUGGCGGCGGUAGUAAUCGCGCGAGUGAAAUAUUUUUUGUCGUAUACUCUGCAACCUUUUUCCAAGAUUUGACCGCUGCUAAUUACGGUGUAUUAGUUGAGAUAGCAGCGACACGUUCUAUUCUGUAUGAAAAUUCGGAUAACUACGUGCAUACUACAUACAAUGUGGCCGUUGUCGACUGCGCCUGUUGCAGAUAACUGUCUCCACGUAUAUGGGCAGCGUAUAACUCGUACAGUAACAAAACGUUACCAUAACGCCUGCGAAUCGAUAGCCAAUUGGUCGUUGAAGUUGUGCCAACGUUACAUUUCGCGUAAAUUGUAAAUAGGUUCCGCGAACGGCGUCGUUUGUUUCGAGAACAAUGUCCAUCAAUAUUUGAAAGAGCGUGAACGGACACGGUGCCUGAAGAGCCAGAAACAUUUUUAGCGAUAACAGAAGAAGUAUGUUCUCGAUGAUGAUAUAUUUUCAUUUCUUGGCAGAAGUUUGUUUAAAACUUUGCCAGAUCAGUGUGCAAAAAGUUAAAGAAUUACGAAGCAUAAUUUAUAAGUGCGGCAAUGAGGAAUAAAAAAAAUUCUCGCUCUUUAAAAAACCUCGCAUACCAAAUUAACUGUAAAAGGUCAAAGAAUUACGAAACACAAUUUGCAAUUGACAAUGAGAAAGGAAAAAAGAGAUUUUUCUUAAUUUAUGUAAAAAUUCUUACUUUAUGUAAAAAUUUCAUGUUCGCUGUUCAUUAAAAAACAAUUCUCGGCUGAUUCUUGAUCGAUCUACAAAUCUAUUAUCGCUCGCCUUUGUCACAUAUCAUUGGCCAAGUUUAAUUAAAUUUUAUUCUGUGUACCGAACGAGUGACGCGCGCAUUUCACGACAAGCUCGCGAGCCCCCUAUUGAAGUUUGGCGGACGACAUUUAGGUGGUGUAUAUACGCGAGGAUUGCGUCCGUAUACGCGUUUGCAGAAAGUUGUGGAUGUAUUGUAGUACAGCGUACAGUGAAAGACAAUUUGGGUGACGACACUGGCAAACACUGGCGGUUGAACUUGUGCCAGCCGUAUUUCAUGCGCCAUUGUACAACGAAUAGUAAAUAGCCUCAUACGAAAAAUCCGCCCUACUUCGCUGUAUCUAUUUCGGAUUUCGGACGCGCGAGGGGCCACCCUCGCGGUAGACCAACAAUGAGUCUCUUCAAACUCCCAGUACCCAUCGACCUAUCGAUCCGUGCAAUUCGAUGCGCCGCCGAACGAAAGUUAACCGGCAUGGCGCAUUUAUCUUCCGCGCUCUCUUGUUGUACAACCAAUGAAAAAUACCAUUCAACAACAACUGGCCGUGAAACCCCAUCCCCCCCCCCUCCGCCCGUCCGUGAUACUAAUUGCCCAAGGAACGUGUUCCAUAUCUCCGCACUUGUUUCUGAUUUCAACUCUGACCUCCGGGAAACUUUCGCGGCUCCGAGACUUCCGCGCUGAUUCCACGACCGCUGUGUAAAUCAUUCGGAAUGCAAUUACGCGAUCUCAGAAUCUAAUUGAGAACGAUGGACGAGUUUUUGCUCGUAUGCACGCCUGGAAGUUUCUCAGAUUAAAGGAAAGGGUCGAAAAAGAAGUAUGCUAAGUGUACGAGAUUAUAGAAAUGGAACGAUAUCUCGCAUAUAACAAAUAAUAAUAUUAUGAUCAAUUGUUUGUUCCGUCGAGCCGAGCAAGCUAAACGUUCGUGAUAAGAUUCAUGAGCUGAUAAUCAAUUAUUCAUGGCGACAUCCCUUAUACCGGGUGUGUCAGGCCGUAAUAAUGGCCUUACAUGAUCGAUAAUACGUAAUAUUGAAUCACGUAAUACUGACAGUAUACAUCAAUAUUGUUACUACCUAAAGUUAUUUCUACGAUUACGUCAUUCACGUCAUGGUAAAAUUACAUUCCACAAUCGAAAAUACAGAUUGCAUCCUCUUCACACAAUCGUUAUCACAGUCAAUGUCUUCGUCACACGGCAAUAAUGAUACUCGAGAAUAAAAAACUUUAGCUCGUCAAUAUACGCCAUUCCAUCAAUAUUAAUUACGCACGAUCAAUAAUAUUGUCAGUAUUUGUUGUACUGACAGCAUUAUUGACUGUCCAUAUUAUAGGGCCUUUGUAUGAUCAAUAAUACUGUCAGUACUAUCAAAUACUAACAUAAUUAUUGAUUACAUAUAAUUAAUAUUGAUAGAAUGAUGUAAUAUACUGAUGGUAAUUCAAACUUUUUAAUUCUCGAGCAUAAUUGUAUUGACAAUUGCAAUGAUUGUAUGAAGAAAAUGCGUCAGUGUUUCCGUCAGUAUAAUUCCAUAAAUGACAUAAACACAGACAUAAUAUCUCAGGUUGUAAAAAUAUUGAUACAUAUUGUCGGUAUUAUUAAAUCAAUAUUCAAGAAAGAUUACCAAUACUGAAAGAGACCUUCUAAAGUCUCUCUUCUUUAGAAAUUAACAUUUAUACUACAUUAAUGCCAAGAAAAAACACAAUUUACUCGGAUAAUUCAAGAAGUAGAGAUCCGAAGUUCGUACAUUCAUAGCUUUUCUUUUAUAUAAAUCUGCAAAAAAACAAACUAUAACUUGACAUUUUCUUAUUUUCCUUGAAAACCAUAAUUUAAAGAAAUUUAAGCAGAAGUUAUUUUUAAAAGAUUUAUCCAACGAUAUCCAACUUGACCUACGAUCCCAUUUUAAAUUUCAGACAUGACCCGGAUGUACCAGAUUUUAACCCAGAUUCAUUCUACUUCCAAUACUCUGGAAAACCGAAAUGCCGUUAGAUAGUUCAGACAGGCUUUGAUAAAAUUUUUCUCCCCGACUUGCGACAAUUAUUCGUUGCCGAGAAGAAAUGAUGGUACGUAUAGGUUAUUUGAUACGCCCUGUAUAAAUCAUAAAAGAAAUCGACGACAAAGGGAUACACUAAAAAUUAAAACUUACUUAUUUACCGAACGUGAAGG